UUGGCCCAGAUCGUUUACCGUGAAAAAAUUAGAGUGUUCAAAGCAGGCAGAUCCAAUUUUCUGCCACCGAAUACAUUAGCAUGGGAUAAUGGAAUAGGACCCUGUCCUCCUAUUUUCAGUUGGUUUUGGCAGCGCGAGGACUAGGGUAAUGAUUAAUAGGGAUAGUUGGGGGCAUUAAUAUUUAAUUGUCAGAGGUGAAAUUCUUGGAUUUAUGAAAGAUUAACUUCUGCGAAAGCAUCUGCCAAGGAUGUUUUCAUUAAUCAAGAACGAAAGUUAGGGGAUCGAAGACGAUCAGAUACCGUCGUAGUCUUAACCAUAAACGAUGCCGACCAGCGAUUAGGAGACGUUGAAUACAAAACACCACCAUCGGUGCGGUCAUCCUUGGCGUUGGUCUUCAAAAGCCAGCGCGGGGGUGGCUUAGCCCGGUGGCACCGGUGAAUGACUCCCCUAGCAGCUUGUGAGAGA
rnacentral:rRNA from 1 species